rnacentral:rRNA from 1 species
UACGGGGGGAGCAAGCGUUGUUCGGAUUUACUGGGCGUAAAGGGCGCGUAGGCGGUCAGCGCAAGUCAGUUGUGAAAUCUCUGGGCUUAACUCAGAACGGUCAACUGAUACUGCGCGACUAGAGUGCAGAAGGGGCAACUGGAAUUCUCGGUGUAGCGGUGAAAUGCGUAGAUAUCAGGAGGAACACCGGUGGCGAAGGCGGGUCGCUGGGCUGACACUGACGCUGAGGCGCGAAAGCUAGGGGAGCGAACGGG